rnacentral:rRNA from 1 species
AGUGAACGCUGGCGGUAGGCCUAACACAUGCAAGUCGAACGGCAGCACAGUAAGAGCUUGCUCUUACGGGUGGCGAGUGGCGGACGGGUGAGGAAUACAUCGGAAUCUACUUUUUCGUGGGGGAUAACGUAGGGAAACUUACGCUAAUACCGCAUACGACCUACGGGUGAAAGCAUGGGAUCGUCGGACCUUGCGCGAUUGAAUGAGCCGAUGUCGGAUUAGCUAGUUGGCGGGGUAAAGGCCCACCAAGGCGAGGAUCCGUAGCUGGACUGAGAGGAGGAUAGGCCACAUUGGAACUGAAACACGGUCAAGACUCCUACGGGAGGCAGCAGUGGGGAAUAUUGGACAAUGGGCGGAAGCAUGAUCCAGCCAGACCGCGUGGGUGAAGAAGGCCUUCGGGUUGUAAAGCCCUUUUGUUGGGAAAGAAAAGCAGCAGGUUAAUACCCCGCUGUUCUGACGGUAACCAAAGAAUAAGCACCGGCUAACUUCGUG